rnacentral:misc_RNA from 1 species
CUCGAAUUUCUACAAGCGCGUGUUAGGGGAAAAGAUUCACGCAAACUGGGUUUUCUUUUCAACAUUUUGCCGCCAUGUUGGAGAAACAGUAUUCCGUGAAGUUUUUCUCCUCAUUCAUUGAGGCCAUACAGAAAGUGUGUCGAGACUUUCUCGACUAUGAACAGGGAGUGGAACUCAGUGGCUAUCUGGCCGUGGAGAUAGACAACAUUAAGAAAGAGAGAUACGUCCUCAGUGAGUUUAUUCAGAGCUCGGGCAAUGUGAUCAGUGAAAGUUUCUGCACAAAAGCCUUUAAGACGGUGCCAAAAAGUGCCCAGACUCCAGAACACAGAGUUCUCAAGGAACAUAACACAAGUUCGAGUAUCGACUUGAUAGACAGUUAUGGCCAGGAGCAGGCCUCGAUAAACCGCAGAACGUACCUGCCAGGUGGAUAUUCUUCUAAUCAGAGACAUUCAACUGGAGGUUUUCACAGUGUUCGCUCCACUCACUCGUCGCGGUCACAGCCUCAAAUACAGCCUAGAUCAUCGACAUCGUGGAUCUCUUCUCCCGAAACGGUCCAGUCACAUCAGACAAACACGUCGGGUAGAAGUUCGUUUCCCGGGACUCAGACAAAUAUUGGUUUUGAAGCAAGUGAUCGAGGUUUUAAGAGAAACGCUACAGAUUUGGAAGGGACACCUUCUAUAAAAAUAGCACGGUCAGGUUCAGCAGACCAUUCUAUAGCAGGCAGCUCCGCAAACUUAGUAUCAGAAACUCAUUCUAACCCAGAAUUUACACAAUCUACCCAGUCGGGCAUGGAGGAAAGUGUUCAUUUGCCGCUGUCGGCGAAAGUGAAGCAAGAGGAGGAGGAUGAUGAUGAUGAUGUGACAUUGAUAGAAAGUAUAAGUGACUUUAGCAAGGGAGACGGAGCGGUGGGGUUCGGUGGUGACUAUUCAGACAUUCUCAGAGACGAUGUCGCUGGCUCGUCACAAAACAUGUACAUGCAGCUGUCUACGUCCGGGGAGAAAGUGGAGCUUUUUAAGGGUUCAUCCAUUCUUGGAAGUGACCCAGAGUUAGCGGGGAAGUUCCCAUCUGUUCUUGUUGACAAAGACGGCUUGCUAGAAGCUGAAAGACGAGCAGUAUUCAGUCGCGAUCCACCAAGUGCUUUACUUAACUUGGUCAUAGAUCUUGUGUUCACGCCAGUCGAACUCGCCAACUCGACGGGUCUCGGGAUCAAACCUCGCAGAAGUGGAGCCGACCCCAACAAACAGCCUCUCGACCCCAUCAAAGUGGACGCCAUUAAAGAAUUCGUCCAAUUGUCAUGCCUCCAGAAGAUGUGGGAGCCCCUGAGUCGCAAGUCAUAUAUCCGAAGAUUCAUUGACAAAUGUGCACGUUCUCGCCACAAACUAAGAUUCUCACAUUCUACCAUACAGUACUAGCAGUUAAGGCAGUACUAGUCAUUGUUUUUCUAGUGUCUGCAACUCCUUGAACAAUGCGGAGUCAUUUUAGUUGUUAUUUAGACAAAACAGUUUCAUACAUUCAGUAAAGUAGGUGGUUGCAACUUGCAAACUUGCGUUGUUGGUUGGACAAGGAUUGGGAUGUUGAGAUGAACAACCAAGAAGCCAAAUGAUACAUCCUGUCAGAGUAGAAAGCAUGAAACUACAAACUUUACAAACUCUUUUAGAACAUUAGUUUGAUUGAAAACAUGUUUUAUUACAUGUAAUGUAUACAGUAUAUAUACAAAAGGAUUGGCUACAAGUUAUUCAACUUAUGAGGCCCUUUUGAAUCUUUUGCAGCAUGUACAUAUGUAUCUAUUCAAAUGUUUAGCCAUCGAGAUAACAUUCUGAUUACAAACAGGUUUCAACCUGUCAACCAUUUACCUACUUGAUGAAACCACAUUUUAAACCAAUGUUUGUGUAUAGGAAAAGUUCUAAACAUUUUUGUCCAAUAUCAUUUUCAUCACUGCAAUAGUUUCAUUCAUUCAGUUGUGAACCCAGAUUCUAAGGUUUAAUUUAAACUGUAUGUUUAGCCAGAGUUGAUUGUUUUCCUAAUUUAUCCAGAAUUCUAGAUUUCUUAUUGUCUUUUCUGUCUUUGUGAAUUUUCUGUUUGUAAAACAUUUUCCAUAUUCUCCAUCCAAAACUUACAAUAUGGUUUCUGCUGAUAUUUUGUAUGCAUUCUGAAUGGGGGCUGCCAUUUUAGAUCAUUGUGCAACCCUAACCCUAGGGCAAAUCUUACUAAGCAACCCCCAAUAUUAAAAUGUUAUCUUUUUUGUGUGUGAUCCCCUUACAUUUCUGUUGAGCUUAAACAUUUAAAACAUGCAAGGCUUUGUGUCUGUUAGUAUACAUUUACCAUUCAUCCAACCAGUGACUGAGCGGUAUGGUUUGUUUUCAGAUUUUCUCCAAACCAUGAGCUUGAAGAACCAGUGGAAGCCAAUGUCUCGCACACUGUUUAUAAGAAAGUUUAUUAAUAAAUGUUCACAGUCUAGAAGAAGCGGCAAAUGCAAAAAGGACUUUAUUGAAUUGAGUUCCUCAAAUCUGUGACCUUGAAGAAGAGAUGGCAGCCAAUGGGUUUCAAGCAUUUUCUGCGAAAAGUCAUUAACAAAUGUACCUAUUCUAGACUGAAGACAAAACGACAUGAACAACACACUGGUUCACAAACACUUGGAAUGGAAACUGUUACCUCAUAUGAGGGAUACAUUUAAUUUGGUCCUACAUGUAGUCCUAUUGAGUAAUGCUUGAUCUUGGAACUUGUAUAUUAUAAAUGUUUACACGCUGUUUAAAUUAGUUCAAGAAUGCGUUGUUUUGAAUAUUGCUUGUAGACAUAAGGCUUUUCAUUUUGUGUUUCCACAAGUGGGUGCACCUUCAAAGUAGAGAGCUUAGUUACUUGUAAUUUGAUAGGUCAUAGGAUUGAUUCUGGUCCAUGAGCCCUUGGGGCUAUUUCCCAUUCCAACUGUUACUCCACCACUGGUAUAUCAAAAGCUGGUCUACAUACUUAUAACCAAUAUUAGCAUAUUUGGCAGCUUUGUAUAUCUGCAUUUGACAAAAUAGACACAAUGACCUUUCUAUGUUAACACUAAAUAAUUAUACUAUUCCUUGUAGUUUUCUAAAAAAAACUUUUGAAGAAAUAUUUCUUCAUUGUUCAUGUACAUAAUUUAGUAUGUGUUAAAUCCAUAUGUAUUUUGUGUUAUAUAAAUUAUGUUUUAUUUUUUUUAAAACGUUAGGAAACUAUUAUUGAAACUUUUAUUUGUUAAUUAAAAUGUCUGGAUGUCCAUCCAGAUUCCUAUGAUUUUAUUCUAGCCACAUUGGCCACAUUCAUAAAAUGAUGUCUUUGAUGAGUUUCAAGUCCAAGAGCCAUAUUGUUAUAACCAUUUAUUAUCCACGUGGUUCAACAAAACUGGGUUAAUAAUAAUCAUACGAAGCACACAUGUAAUAACAAGUGUAAUGAUGUAAUUUUGGGAAGCGACGUCAUAACAUGACUUUGUUUUCCUCAGUCCUAGCUAAAACUUUGCAUGUGGAAUAUGACGUCAUUUUAUUGUCUCCUUCUAGUUGUACUGGCCUUGGUGGUGUCAUGGUUUGGCCAUUGGUCUA